AGGGCUUCCAUGCUCUCCUCCUAGCACGACGGCGGCUGCGGUGAGCCCCGACCCUACUUCAUUCUCGAAAGCUUGGUCGCCGCCGUUUUUUUGACCUCCGUGCGGGAUCGGGUGGGUUGGUUUUUUGACAGACUGGUGAGGCUGGUGGCCUGCGCCUUCUACGAUGACCACUACAGGUGCAACCCGCCACAUGACGCCAUCGUUCGGCAUGUUGUGCAGCUGCUCGACAUCCGCGGUGAGCCCCGACCCUACUUCAUUCUCGAAACCGUAACUGGCGCCCACAUCCCUCUCUAUUCCAUGGCGGAGCAGGAUGGCAACGUGGGGCAGAGGCCACCCGACUCCGUUCCGGUGGUUGGUGUAGGGGAUCAAAAUACUAAUCAGCAUCAACCAUUUUUUCGAUGUGCCAGCCACUUCUCACUAUUGGCUCCUUUAACAUAUACUAGCACAUAUGGAGGCGUUCCAGUUUUUUCCCUUGGAAAUUGAUGAGAUGCAGACAUAAGGAACUGACAUAGUUUCUCAUUGAUUCUCAUUUUUAUUGAUGGCCAUUCAAUUGCUUUAUUUCUGUUUAGACUUAUUAAUGAUUAGUCCUAUGAUUGUAUUUGAUUGUAUCCUUUUCCAUUUAAGGCCAGAGCAGGAGUGGAGAUGGCGCUGAUUGAUGCGUUGCUAAUAGCAUUCGCAUACCUCUGUGGAGAUUAUUUGAAGGAGCAUCGGAUAGUGUGACAACUGACAUCACGGUACGAUUACCUCACUGCACUGACUCCUGCUCCUGAAGGCUUUUAAAUGCCAUAACCAAAAUUUUAUCCUGACAUCACGGUACGAGCGCGAAUCUUCUCACGUUUUAUCUUAAAUAUUUAUGAUUCAAUUUGUUUUCUAUAGUGGUGUUAUGUUAUAACCCCCAUCAUUUUUUAGAUAGACCGCUCCUGUUUGCUU